CCGGGGAGUAACAUGGGCCAGGUGGCGUUAGUCUACCACUUCCGGUUUCGGAGUUAUGACCCCCGAGCGAAGCCGGGCAUUCUUCUAGUAUAUAAAUAAAUAUAUAAAUAAAUCAUCUUCAUGGUCAUCAUCAUCGUCAUCAUCAUCGUCAUCAUCACUAUUUAACACCAAUCAUCGUCGCCUGACAAUUACCUUAUCUAUUCAAAGCGCUUGUUUAGUUUUAAAUACUUGUGAACUUUACUAAAACUCACUUUGUUGAACGGGUUACUUUCGUUGGUAUCGCCAUAUAGGAACGCUUUUGUAUUUAUGGAUUUAAAUGGGAGGGUAUUUAAUGUUGAGAUACGCUGAGACGAAUAAUUUGGGCAGUGCAGAAAAUAAUGGUCGCUGUCUUCUUGAGUAUGACCACAACUGCAUGUCGGGUUAUGUGAAAUAUGCAUUAAAAAUCUAUGGAAGUUUAGAGCACUUUUACAAUUACGAAGUCUGGAAUGUAUAAUCUGAAAUUUACGUUCUCCAUAGUAACAUCUUACUGACAUCAAUAAAUACAAAAAUAUAAAAUGGCUGAUUUGUCAGAUAAAAGUCAUUUCACUCUUUGAUAUGAUUUAUAAUAUGUAAUUUAAAGGAUUUUCAGUGUCACUAAACUUAAAAUUAAUCUAAAUAUAACGGGGUUCCAAAAUCCAAGAUGGCGGAAAUUCAAAAUGGCGGCCAGAAUUUCCCUAAAAUGGUCGAUUUUUCGGAUAAUCGUCAUUUUUAAGUUUGAUAUGGCGAGUGAUAUGCGAUUUAAAGGGUUUUCUGUGUCACUCAACAACCUCAAAAGAAGAGUUUCCAAAAUCCAAAAUGGCGACCAGAAUUUCCUAAAAUGAACGAUUUUUCAGAUAAUCGUCAUUUUUUCGGUUUUGUAUGGCUUGUAAUAAUGUCCUUUAUUAGGUUUUCAAAUUCCACGAACUUGAAAAUAACCUCAAAAAUGAAUUUUGAAAAUGAAUAUUACCUCAAAAAUGAAUUUUGAAAAUGAAUAUUACAUCAAAAAUGAAUUUUGAAGAUGGUAGAUGAUUGCUUAAAAAUACAACAGGACAAUCGUGAAUUUUCCUAUGGGAUUGGCUUGUAAUAGCAAAGAGUAGUAGUUAUUUUGAUGGUAACUGGAACUGUUAUACUGGAUCUCACAUAAACAAGAUUUAAUAUUAUUCCAGCAAAACAGUGAGGUAUAUAUAUCCAGUUGUUAAGAAUUUAUCUAUUGUUUAUUCAGAAAUGGUUCGAAAUAGUGGUUCAGUGAGUAAGACUCGCUAAGAACGAGAUCUGGGGUUCGAUCCCUAUGUUUGCUGAAAAAGUACCUUAGGAUUUUCCAGUGUGGUUUCUCCUUGUCAGGAUGCAGCACCGGGGGGCUUCUCGAGAAACCAAGUUUAUAUGUACACGUUGACGAGCGCAUACAAGAACCCUAGACAGUUGGAAUUCGAAAUAAGAGUACACCAUAGUACCACUGUCUGGGCCAAUUUUCCUCAUAGCACACUGCUUGACGAAUAUCAAUAUUUAUUAACUUUUGUUCAGAAGACUUAUGUCCGGAAACCGUUUGUGGUAUCAUCUAGACAGAUGAAUUCAUAUUUGUCAGUCAUGUAUUUCAUAAAGUGAAAAGUGUAAAAUGAAUCAUCGAAGUCUCUGUGUCCGCAACUUGUGUGGUAUGGUAUCCACAGAUCAUAUUCGUCUGUAAUGUAAUGCACACCAAGUUCUAAGUUAAAAAUAAUCAUCACGAAAAUAAUUGGAAAUGCAUUUACGACUAGGUAUCCCAAAAGUCAUCUCCCACGAUUUCCUCUUUUCUUAUGUGUUGUUCUUACAUGUAGAACUUGUUGUGAAAUACGUAACUGACGAAAAUGACCUGUGGAUACAACAUCUAGACUAUACCACAAAAGUUACUGGACACGGAGUCUUCGAUGCAAAAACGGACCACAUUAAAAUUUCUGAACGAAUAGGAGAACUUAAAUUCUUAACGACUGGAUAUACCACAAAUGAUUCUCACUCCGGUAAAAUGGUGCAAAGACAAAGGAGAUGAAAUUAAAAAUGCGUCAGUUGGCCCCGUUGUAUUGUUAUGGGGGUUUUAUGCAUAAAAACAAUUAAGCUACAUUUAUUGUGUCUUAAGGUUAAAUUCUUUGAAAUUCUAAUUAGCUGACUGGUAAGUUCUGCACAUGGUUUAUUUAUUGACAGGUAGAUUCCUGGGUCAGGUCAAAUUAAGUUGCCCUUAAAAAAAGUAUUACAAUUUGCUAUUAUAAACCAAUCCAAGAGAAAGAUUGAUGAUUGUCCCUUUUUUUUCUGAAACAAUCAUCUUCAAUUAUCAAAUUCAGAGAGAAAGAGAGAGAAAUGGGGUUUAACGUCCACUCGGCACAAACUAGGUCAUUUCGGGACUAACAUAUGGUUUAAUUUUAUUUACAUAAUUGGCUUGUGCGUAGGGGUCUUUAGCAGUGGGAGGAAACCAGAGGACCCGGAGAAAACCCACGAGGUUGGACAGGCGACCCUACUCCUUGCCACGUACAACCGGGGAUUCAAAAUCACGCCAGUCGACUCAAUGACAGACUUUAUGAUACAGCACGCGCAUGCUAACCAUUCAGCCAUCCAACCCCCCUAUCAAAUUCAGUGACUCUGAAAACUUAAUAGAGGACAUAUUACAAGCCAUAUCAAAACAGAAAAUUGACGAUUAUCUUAAAAAUUGAUCAAUUUAGAGAAAAUCUGGCCGCCAUUUUUUUAAUUUCCGCCAUCUUGGAUUUUGGAAACUCUAUUUUAGAUUGAUUUUAAGUUCAAUGACAUUGAAAACCCUUUAAAUUACGUGUUACAAACCAUAUCAAAGAGUGAAAUGACUUUUAUCUGACAAAUCGGCCAUUUUAGAUAAAUUUUGGUUGACAUUUUGAAUUUCCGCCAUCUUGGAUUUUGAAAACUCUUUUUUUCUUUAGAUUAAGGUAGAUUCCUGGGUCAGAUCAAAUUCAGUUGCCCUAAAAAAACUAUUACAAUUUGCUAUUAUAAACCAAUCCAAUAGAAAGAUUGGUGAUUGUCCCUUUUUUUUCUGAAACAAUCAUCUACAAUUAUCAAAUUCAGUGACUCUGAAAACUUAAUAGAGGACAUAUUACAAGCCAUAUCAAACAGAAAAUUGACGAUUAUCUUAAAAAUUGACCAAUUUAGAGAAAAUCUGGCCGCCAUUUUUUAAUUUCCGCCAUCUUGGAUUUUGGAAACUCUAUUUUAGAUUGAUUUUAAGUUCAAUGACAUUCAAAACCCUUUAAAUUACGUAUUACAAACCAUAUCAAAGAGUGAAAUGACUUUUAUCUGACAAAUCGGCCAUUUUAGAUAAAUUUUGGUCGACAUUUUGAAUUUCCGCCAUCUUGGAUUUUGAAAACUCUUUUUUUCUUUAGAUUAAUUUUAAGUUCAGUGACAGUGAAAACCCUUUAGAUUACAUAUUACAAACCAAAUCAAACUGUGAAAUGACUUUAAUCUGACAAAUCGGCCAUUUUAGGUAAAUUUUAGCCGCCAUUUUGAAUUUCCGCCAUCUUGGAUUUGGGGAAACUAGUUUUAGAGAUUAUUUUUCAGUUCAAUUACAACAAAAACCUUAUAUAUGAUAUAUUACAAGCCAUACCUUGCAUGAAAAUCACCCAUCCUAUCUGGAAAUUCAUUUUACGUCAACUUUUGGCGGCCAUUUUGGAAAUCAGACAAACCCCAACCGAAAAUGACGUCAUAGAUAAAAAAAUUUCUAAAAAUCGUGUUCAGCUAGCAAUUUCGCCUCUGGAAAUUGCUGGCCUGAAAUGAUUUGUAAAAAAAAUGUCUUAUUGUGACACCCCUAGUGGAAGCGGACGUAAAAUACAACUAACUAAGAAGAAGUAUCUAUACUUUAGUCAUUGCGACAAAUUCUUUCUUUGAUAUUAUAUCAGCGACAUUCAGUUAGAUAGAUGUAGUGAAGUUAGCAUCAACAGGGUGCUUUAGCCGUGAUAUUUUUAAAAAAAUUAUAAUGGUCACAUAGAAUACCAGACCGCAGGUUUGUAAAUUUUUACAAAAAAUAAAACCGUGUAUUUAAUUUAGCAUGUAUAUAUUGCUUCUAUGUAUAUAAUAAUUCGUUUCGUUUAAAACAGUCAGAUUUAGAACUACUGCCACUGACUGCACCGGAAGUCUAUUUAUAUAAUGGCGCCACAAAGAAAAUGUUUUUGAUGUGUUCUAAAAGUGUUCCGCUAAUUCAGCAAUCUAAUGAAUCUGUCUUAAUUUUUCUGAAAUCGUGCUUAAUUAUUAUUAGCUAAUCGGCGCUACACCGUUGUUCAAAUACUUAUAAUUGCAAGAAACCCCCGACUAGGACCAGCAGGUAAGAAUCUGUCUUGAUUUUAUAGUAAUACCCGGUUGCAAUUAUUGGCCGCCAUCUUUGAUUUUUAUAGACGUUCGGGCAAAAGGAGAAAUGUAUAUCCAGACAUGGACUAUAGCUAGAUACUAACUUUUGUGUUAGUUGUUUAGUUGAAAUGUAAUCUUAUUUCUGUAAAAGAAAAAAACAACAACAAACAAAUCAGCCUUUUUUUUAUAUCAAUGUCAUCAAUGUGUAGGCCUAAUAUUAGACUUUCAAUGAUUCAGAAGUUUCUCUACAGUUUCGUUAUUUUUUUUUCCAGUCAUUGAUGUUAGCAUGUACUACACAAAGAAAAACAGGCAAAGCAUGAAGCCAAAGGAAAUGUUUUUACUAAGGCAUGUUCCUCAAUAGCGGAGAGAGUUUUAUCCAGUGUCGGUUCUGCAGAAGAACCCAUUCAUAGCAGACCACCCAUUGCAGCACUUGUAAGGUCGCUAUAAAGAACCCGACAGACUCUGCGACCAAAAGAUCCCACUGACGUGUCGUCAAGCCUUGACGAAGAUUUCAUCGAUCAUAGUGCACCGGGAUUUUAUCAAAAAAGAGUAAAAGUUGGGGAAAGGCGCCAUCACAUUUUUUGUACUGAUAGACAGAUGCAACUACUCGCACGCGCAAAAACUUGGUAUAUGGAUGCAACUUUUCGGGUGGUGAACAAGCCAUGGUCUCAGCUGUUUUCCAUACACGCCUUCAUUAAGACUGGAGAGACCACCCGACAGUUACCAUUGGUGUUUUGUGUAAUGUCGGGUAAAAGCCAAGACGACUAUUAUAAGUUUCCAUAUUAGAUGCCAUAGCAAAUCAAAGAUCAUAUAAUAAAAUAAGUCAAAAAACCCAAAUAUGGAAAAAGAAAGAGCUGAAGAAAUGGUGAUUUGAGCACCUAUGCUUUCUCAUAGGUGUUUUUGGAGGUUAACUACAUCAGAAAGAUCAAGACAGUUGGAAAUGGCUAUUCAUAUUAUGGAAACUUUUUCUCACAGAGCUUGAUAAUCAGGUAAAAUGCUGGAAGAUUAUUCGAUGUAUGAUAACAACAAGAGAUCCCAAGCAUCAAUUUAUUUUAUAAUUCUGGAAAAGAAUGCAUUUGACCCAAUUUUUGAAUAUUUUUUUUUGUUUUUACUGUUAAAUAUUCAUCCCAAACACAAUUAGAUUUUAAUUCUCUACAGAAAUUUAUGUAUAAUAUAGAAUGUAAAGUGACAUAUAAAUCACUUAGAAUUUGGUCGGAAAUCAUAAAGUAUUUAAUAGGCAUAGUCUAGAAACCAAAUGUAGAUCAAAUAUACCCAGAAUUACAAAAAACCUUGACCUACAUUAAGGUGACUUUCCCUUGCUUAUGAAAUGAAAUAGGGUUUAAUAUCCUACUUUUCUGUGUUAUUAUGGUGAUUCUGCCCUACAACCUACUCUUAUAUCAAAUAUUUCAACUGUCAAGGGUUGUUUAAAGGGGACCCAGGAGGGCCGAAUGGUUAACACACGCACAUUGGAUCAGAAGGGUCUGUCAUUGAGUCAGAUAAUUCAAUUGUCAAGGGUUCUUUAAAGUAAACGCAGUGGGGGUAGUUUCAAUUCUGGGCUUAUACCCAAUUAUCCCUUGCCAUGUCCUACACUACUGACGUGUGGGAACUAUGUGGGAAAAUCCAGUUGAAAUUUCUCGGCCAAUGCACUCACUGAACCACAGUGGCUCCUCCUUGCUUUUGACUUGUGAUUAUUUAUAUAUAUUUUGUACAUAUUAUUUAAUGUUUGCGAUUUUCUCUGAUAUUUUUUUAUUUUUCAAUCCUGUAAUCUUGAUGCUUUGCUCCUUUUAUGUACAAAAUAUUCAUUUUGUUUGAGGAAAAGGUUCUACAUCAUUUUAUUACUCCUGCAAAAUAGUGCAUUUGUCUUUUGUUAGUUUUCUGUGUAUGCUAGUUAUUUCUAGAUGCCUCACAAAUCACUUGUAAUAUGACUUUGUAGCACUUUUCAGUUUCUGAAAGUAUUUCAGUUUAGUGCAUAAUUAAUCUAAUUAGGGCUUGGUUUGGAUGUUAUUAAAUUUAGAUAUAUUUGAAUUAUAUAUUUUUGGGGUAUGGGGUAGGGAUCUUUCUUUUCUCAGUUCUUGUUUUCGGGUAAAGAAAAAAUUAAAUAGCUAUUUUGUAUUUUGUGAUGUUGGGGGAGGGGGGCAAAGUAUAACAAAAUUUUUAUUAGUAUUAGAAUUAUAUCUCUGUUUUUCUGUUAACAUUUCAAAUGAUGUCUAUUUAGUUUUGAUUUGGUGGUGUUAAUUUACUUUUUCCUAUCAUUUUAUGAAUAAAUGAUAAUUUAACAAAUAAAAUUAUUGUUACCUCAUUUAUCAAACUUUACAGGUUAAACAGAGCAAAAGGGGUGGGGGGCUGCAUGGGAAAGAUUGCUAAAUUGAGGGAAAAUAAAACACAAGUUUUUGUUG